GGCAACUUGCCCUAAAAGGGGGUGUUGUCUUGUUUGAACAAUUUAUCAUGUUAGUUGUUGCACCACUUUUUGUGGGCUUAGUCAUUGAACUAGUGAUGAGAAAGAUGACAACUAAAAAGCAAGUUGCUUGCUACCCACACGCUCGGAAUCGCAACGAGUGCAUAA
rnacentral:ncRNA from 1 species